rnacentral:tRNA from 1 species
GAGGGUAUAGCUCAGUGGUAGGGCCCAUGCUUAGCAUGCAUGAGGUCCUGGGUUCAAUCCCAAGCAUCUCG